AACCCAUGCUGAGGACAUUUCCGUAGGAGAUCCUUGAACCUGUCCUAUGUCUCAAAAAGAGACUCUAAUUCUAUUUGCAUAAUAGAGGAUAUUUCAUUCCUAUGAUU